rfam:Vigna radiata var. radiata cultivar VC1973A chromosome 4, whole genome shotgun sequence
CUGGCAGGGAUUGUGUGUAUCGGGGUUGUGCUACAAUCGUUGCAUUUUUCCAAAAGAGUUCCCUGCAAAACAAAUCUGGGGAAGAUGGGCAGUUGUGUUUCAGUUUGCUGUUGAAAAUAAUAACAAUCAUGGCCACUACAUUU